CCUAGCUUGCUAGGUGGAUUAGUGGCGCACGGGUGAGUAAUAUAUAGAUAACGUGCCUCUUAGUCUGGGAUAGCCAUUGGAAACGAUGAUUAAUACUAGAUACUCCUUCUAACUCUAAUGUUAGUCGGGAAAGUUUUUCGCUAAGAGAUCGGUCUAUAUCCCAUCAGCUAGUUGGUAGUGUAAGAGACUACCAAGGCAAUGACGGGUAGCGGGUUUGAGAGGAUGAUCCGCCACACUGGUACUGAGACACGGACCAGACUCCUACGGGAGGCAGCAGUGAGGAAUAUUGCACAAUGGAGGAAACUCUGAUGCAGCAACGCCGCGUGGAGGAUGACGCAUUUCGGUGUGUAAACUCCUUUUAUAUGUCAAGAAAAUGACGGUAGCAUAUGAAUAAGCACCGGCUAACUCCGUGCCAGCAGCCGCGGUAAUACGGAGGGUGCAAGCGUUAUUCGGAAUCACUGGGCGUAAAGGACGCGUAGGCGGGAUGCCAAGUCUGAUGU
rnacentral:rRNA from 1 species